ACAAGGUAUGAUUAUUUGUUAUUUAUGUGGAAAAAUAUAACAGUUAAAAUACGAAUGUCCAGAUAAUAGUUCACAUGGGGGCGCAUUUAUUCCAAACAACUCCAUAUGUUGUUUUAUGUUUAUCCAAUUAUUUCAAAUGCUUCUUUUAGACAGUACUAUAUAUAUACUUUUCUAAACAUUAGAUGCAUAGUGAGAAUAUAGCGUUAUUGAUUUAGGUUCUUACUCAUUUGAUAUCAAGUAUUUUUUAGCUUGUCUGCCUAGUAGGACUAGAAAUGGGCCAUCUCUUCUUGAAUAAAGGCCGUAGUUGAGGAUUUAUCUUUGUAUAAAGACUAUCAGCAUCGGUAAUCGGAACUUAACGUCGAACUAUAUCUUACAGAAGUAAGAUCAAUAGAUAGCGAUAGAUUAAUUCGCUUUAGUGCAUCACGUAUCUCGCGCCUUCCUCGACUUAACAGCUUGUUGAUAAUGCAGGCUUUCAAAGCCCAUAGAAGAGUUAGCAUAACUGGCUGUUGUCGUCUGUUUAGUUAGUAAGUUGCUUUGACACGCAUUUUUUCUUGCGCUUAAUUUUUUACACAAACAGUCCGUGGUCCUUACUUAGAACCUUAGACCUUAGAAACUUAGAAAACCUUAGAAUCGCAGCUACCGGCCCGGUAUAUCGUGGUUGCAGUAUAUCCUUGUCGAACUGUGUUGGCGCCAAGCGCUCAUGUGUGCCAGCUGAUAUGUGCAUACGUGAAACGUGACUGACUACAGCAGCCACGUUGGUUUGUAGCUUCAUUUAAGUACGUAGCUUUUCUGUCAUAUACGUCACACCUUGGACAGGCAUUAUCCAUUUGUUUCAUGUGGCAUUGGCGUCGUUUGCCACGAAAGUGUUCCAUUUCGAAACCGAUUCGAUUCCGCUUAGCGCGUGUAUGUACGAUUAUGCUCUGUUAGGGGGUACUGUAAGACGAGCACAGUGGAGUGGACUUUUUUUUGUUAGGUGUAGGUGUAUAUGCUAGCAUUUUGUUGGCAAGCCCUGCUUUCUUUGCCGCAGUUGAGCCAGUCCAUGAGACUGAUACAGCUCGACACGAAGAGUAAGUGAAAGUUUUUGUUCAUUUGUUGUUGUGGCCUCCAUGGCUAUACAGUCGUACGGCAAGGCUCUAGAAAUACAACAGGGUGAACCCUGUACUAUAGAGACUUGGAAUAUUAUAAUAGUUCCGAAAUGACGUGAUUCGAGGAAAAAUUCAAAUCAAUAUACUACUUCUAAAACAGUAUGUUCAUACCUACAUGCAGACUAGUUAUUCAUAUGUGAUGUUUAUGUACUUUAAUUACAGUUGGCGCAGACACGGGUAUAGUAGUUAAUGCAUAAUGCCUUGUACAUAAAUUUGAUGAUAGUACUGGUUGACGGUCCAAGCACUUCUGACUCUAUUGUUGUGUAGAACAUUCAUGAUUGCGCUUAAUCAUUCAACGAUGCAAAGACUCGAAUAAAGAGCAAAGUGAUGUCACUGCAACAGCCUGCACUAAAAGAUGAGUAAGACAGUUGUCAUCUUAGUAGAAGGAUGAGCCAUUGUGCUGAGCAGAUUUAAAGGAAACCUGUUUGGGUUUCCAUCAUCAGAACUCAGUUUCUAGUAGUAGUUUCUACAAUUUACCACUUUUCUCUUACAUUUACAACGCUGAAUUGUUUAACUCAACUAAUUAAUCCUGAUCUAGUGAGCAUUUCGACUGCUAUCUUGUACAGUGUUUUGGAGAGUCACUCAUGCCAAGCAGUGCCUUUAGCAUCUUGGCGAUUUUAAUAGGUGCAAUCUUGAAACAUUUAAAUUGUUUUGAUAUUUGGUUAUUAAGAUGUAUUUCUUGUUCAUAUACUACCACAGUUCUAAAUCUAAUCUACAACAAAUGUAUUAUAUAUACAAACCUUACGAUUCUUGAGAUAGCAAGAUGCAUAAUAUGUGAUUUCCUAAUCGUCUCAACAGUUUAUCGCAUGCGGGCAGUGUCGAUUUUAUUUUUUGACGCUUUAUGCUAUGCGAAGGAUGCCAUAAUCUUAACGACCGUAGAAACCAUGGAGAACAUGUACAAGCGCAGAUUCUCUCUUCUAAUUAUCCAGAAUUAUACGGGAUGUCGAUUGGCCAGAAUAUUUUCGACAUGAAUUUCUUUCGAGGGACAGUAACAAGGCCGCAUCUGUGGAAAGGGAAAGGAAUCGUGGUAUUACGUGCCACCAAGCAUAACGAACGGUUAUAUCGAAUAUUUCGAGCAAAUCAUCCUAGUUUCGAGGGCAUCGAAAUGCCUAGUGAGGUUUGUUUCAGCGACGACGAAGUUCGCCUGCCUCAACAUGAACGCCAAUACCUCAUUUCCGGAUACAAGGCCAGUCCUUUGUUUCGUGCUAGGGUCAGCCAUCUGGAACAACGUUUAGCGGUAAUAUUCAAGUUAGACGCUAUUACUCCUGGCAUACUUCGAGCUGCACAGAUUUUGCCUGAGUUAAACAGUCGCUAUAAAGCUACGAUCACGUACCGGUCUGCAUGCCAGAAAGACAAUUAUUUUAAUAUUCGGGCGAUAUUGUGGCAGUUAAACGUAGAGGUUGUCCUCUCUCCUGAGUCAAUCGACAAAUUUCGUGGAGAGCCGGGAUUUGCGUAUCUUGAAAGCACGCUUAAAGUUACCGGCCUGAUAAACCUCAGCUGGAACGAAACGGUUUUAGCUCAUACCGAGCAACGUAUGCCUAUUGGCGAUCUUCUUAAAUUCUACAACGUUCCCGGUCCGGACCCUAGCCAGCGAGCGAUUGUGGACGUUCAUUCAAAUCGCGAGGCUACUUCAUCUGAGGAAGAUGACGAUGACGAGCUACGAGAAAACGUCGGAAUAGCUAGUGGUCAUGCAAGAGCCGAGUCAAGAGAAUCAAGAUCAGAAAAAUCGUACUUCACAGAAAUCCGGUCCAGAUCCUCACUAGAUAUUAAGCCAAUACAUUUGCCGCCAACAGGUCGACCGUGUUGUUCGAUAGGAUCUAGACCUUCAUCCAAUCUAGCAGCUGAAACGCCGAAUUUUAUGGCUGUUGAACCUCACUGCCCCCAGACUUGUGAGAAGAACUCAAUGGGUCCAUGCCGCGCUUAUGAUGAAGCAACAACAGACGAUGAUGAUGAAGCAAUUUAUGAUGGUCUCAGAAACCUCAAUGAAGCCACUUACGCGCAGGUAUGGCACCGAGUGAAUUGUUCUUGCUGCCCUGUAAACAGGGAAGAGGUCCAGUCGUAUCAACCUCGCCGACGUCCAGUGCGACGACGAUCGGUGUCUCGACCUCGAGAACAUCAUCGACAUGGUACAGAUCCUGGCUCCCGAAACUGUUGCGAUUCAAACGAGCGGGAACGCGUUGUUCAGCAAACGAUAAUGCGUCAGCGAUCUCAUAGCGUCGGAAUGCCUGAGGAAGCACACUGUGACAGUAGACAUCGCAACACGCGUACGUACGAUCGCUGGAGUUGGGGAACACCCGAAAUGGCUACAUCUGCGCAUGGCGGCAUGAUGCCAGUUGCAAGUGACGCCGCCACUAUACCUUCCGGUACUGCAACUGCUGCGGUAGUACCAGCAGCUGCUAAUGCUGUAUGCUGUCACGGCGCACUUUAUACGCCAUGGCAGCACCAACCGCCAUUCUAUGGACUGGUAGGUGGUUUGCCAACUUGUGCUACGCCAAAUGGAACUUUUGUCCUACAGACGCCUCCAGUGAGCAAUUUCCCUAACGCUAUGGGCACCGACGACGCAAUGCAUCUCCACAUCUAUCAGGUCAAUGAGAGCUUACGUAAAUCAAAACGUUAUUGAGCUAGUCAUUGAGCUUAUGAGAAUGAAAUAACAGAAGCGACUCCGUAACAAGAUGACUGUUGGCAUCAUGGGACGAAAUUCUAGGUGCUUCAUCACAAAUAGGAGGAGUCAAAUAGUAAAAGCAUGUACAGCUGGCAAGUACAAGGAGCAUCGUAAAGAGUUCUGCUGCUUCAUGCACCUUAAUUGAAUGAUGAUUAGACGGGCAAUAAAUUUUGAACAACAGGGAAGCAACGGCUCCGAUCUUGAACUAGAUGCGCGGUUUGUCAUAAACCGAAUUAGCCUCAACCAUGAUAUAAUCGUUGAUUGCUGCUCAGGAUUGUGCACAGUUACACUAUUAGACUUUUGCCUGCAUUUUCUGUAACUGUGAAGUACGUACUAUGGGUGCCGUACUACCUGCGCCAAUUUUGCUUCGGCUCGUUGAAUCUAGGUCGGCUAUGCUUAUGCUCUUCGUCGCAAAGGUGACGGGGGAAGGACAAGGGCCAACGUGGAUGGCCUGUGGCUUAAACUUGACCCAAACCUACUGACCGCUAUAACAUGGGCCACAGCCUAUACAGCAAAAUCUCGCCAAUAGCUGAGUGAGCAUUCCGGACAAUAUCCCGUUGCACUGAAGAGUGGACAACGCUGUGCCUAUAAACAAAGCAAUGCCACACUACGGUCAACUCAGCUAGCCUAUGCGAAAAAGGAUCUGAGAGGUGUACGGGAGAGAUGCUGUUAUAUUAAUAUAUCAGACUAAGCCGAGGACGGAGGGAUCGAGGUCUAACUUAAUUAGGUCGCUUUCGGAGCUGUAUAAGCGACAGUGUGCUAAGUAGGUACACUCAAAUGCGCGGGAAAUCUCUUCACUGGCUUUUCAUUAUAGUUCGACCCUUAGCCAACGUAGGCAACGUAUUCUGGCCUAGGUAAAAUUCCCUAAAAGUGUUCACUGAACAGCAGCGUCAUAUUAUUGCCUUCGGUAGCUAAUCCCGUUUUCGAAGAAGAAAUAAAGAACCAACGAUAACCAGCACAGACUGCAAUAAGUAGAUGAAAUAGUAGUUUGCUUAGAGAGGCAACGGUACGAGUUUUUAAAGUUAAGAACUACCUUAAGAUAUAAUUAGGCUUAUUUGAAAGAAGAUCACAGGCAGGUAGCUUAAUUUUGAAUCGUUUUUGCUUUAAGUUAAUUACGCGCUUCCAAAAAAAAUGAGACUUAGCGGUACUGAAUGUACCUAAUAUUAUAUUAGUUGACGUACAUGUCAGUUUUACG